UGUACUACCGAUAACCGUUUGAGAGAAGGGAUGACACAGUAGGAUAAGCUAAGCACACUGUUGGUUAUGUGUGCCCAAGCAUUGAGGCAGUCAAAGUAGGCAAAUCCGCUUUGAUAAUGCUGGGAUGGGAUGGGGAGCGAAAUUUAGUAGCGAAGUAGCUGAUUUCACACUGUCAAGAAAAGUCUCUAUCGAGGUUAAAGGUACCCGUACCGCAAACCGACACAGGUGGGUGAGGAGAGUAUCCUAAGGCCAGCGAGAGAACUGUUGUUAAGGAACUCGGCAAAAUGACCCCGUAACUUAGGGAUAAGGGGUGCCACCAUCAGGUGGCCGCAGAGAAUAGGCCCAAGCGACUGUUUACCAAAAACAUAGGUUUCUGCUAAGUCGCAAGACGAUGUAUAGGAGCUGAAGCCUUCCCGGUGCUGGAAGGUUAUGGAGAUCUGUUAGAG
rnacentral:rRNA from 1 species